rnacentral:rRNA from 1 species
UACGGGGGGGGCAAGCGUUGUUCGGAAUUACUGGGCGUAAAGGGCGCGUAGGCGGUUCGCUAAGUUGGAUGUGAAAACUCUGGGCUCAACCCAGAGCCUGCAUCCAAAACUGGCGGGCUAGAGUUCUGGAGGGGGUAGCGGAAUUCCUGGUGUAGCGGUGAAAUGCGUAGAUAUCAGGAGGAACACCGGUGGCGAAGGCGGCAUCCUGGACCAACACUGACGCUGAGUGAGCGAAAGCCAGGGGAGCAAACGGG